AUUCAUCUGGUGAAUCCCAAAUAGAAAGAAACGCGCGUCCCGAAU
rnacentral:hammerhead_ribozyme from 1 species